rnacentral:rRNA from 1 species
AUUGAACGCUGGCGGCAUGCUUUACACAUGCAAGUCGGACGGCAGCACAGAGAAGCUUGCUUCUUGGGUGGCGAGUGGCGAACGGGUGAGUAAUAUAUCGGAACGUACCGAGCAGUGGGGGAUAACUAAUCGAAAGAUUAGCUAAUACCGCAUAUUUUCUGAGGAAGAAAGCAGGGGGCCAUUUGGCCUUGCGCUGUUUGAGCGGCCGAUAUCUGAUUAGCUGGUUGGUGGGGUAAAGGCCUACCAAGGCGACGAUCAGUAGCGGGUCUGAGAGGAUGAUCCGCCACACUGGGACUGAGACACGGCCCAGACUCCUACGGGAGGCAGCAGUGGGGAAUUUUGGACAAUGGGCGCAAGCCUGAUCCAGCCAUGCCGCGUGUCUGAAGAAGGCCUUCGGGUUGUAAAGGACUUUUGUCAGGGAAGAAAAGGAUAGGGUUAAUACCCCUGUCUGAUGACGGUACCUGAAGAAUAAGCACCGGCUAACUACGUGCCAGCAGCCGCGGUAAUACGUAGGGUGCGAGCGUUAAUCGGAAUUACUGGGCGUAAAGCGGGCGCAGACGGUUACUUAAGCAGGAUGUGAAAUCCCCGGGCUCAACCUGGGAACUGCGUUCUGAACUGGGUGACUAGAGUGUGUCAGAGGGAGGUAGAAUUCCACGUGUAGCAGUGAAAUGCGUAGAGAUGUGGAGGAAUACCGAUGGCGAAGGCAGCCUCCUGGGAUAACACUGACGUUCAUGCCCGAGAGCGUGGGUAGCAAACAGGAAUAGAUACCCUGGUAGUCCACGCCCUAAACGAUGUCGAUUAGCUGUUGGGCAGCAUGACUGCUUAGUAGCGAAGCUAACGCGUGAAAUCGACCGCCUGGGA